UUUUGCCGUAAUCACUUUGUUUUGUUUUACAAUUUGUUUUUCAUUUUCUAUAUUUCUAUGAAAAUUUACAAUUCCAUUACUUCUAAAUUAAGACUGAAAUCUGUUUGACAUCUACCGUCAUGCGGGCAGUGAUUUCUAAUUAUUUAGUUACUACUCCCAAGAAGAAAUGGUAAAUGCAUAAUCUCUACUACUUAUAGUUGAAGCUCCUACAUUCAACUUCACUAUGUUGCCUAACCUCCCCUUUAUUUCAUCUCAUAAUGGUAUAUUCCUCUCAUUCAUUUGUUCAUGGUAUGUUAUAGCUAACUCUCUUUUAAGUUGACAAUUCUAACUGGAGCUAUGAUAUGACAUAGGCUCUACCAAAUACAUUCUUUUUGAUUUGGAUCUGGGCUCUUACAUAUACAUUCAAAUCUGGUUAGAGUCUCUAAAAAUUAUAAUAUGUUCUAAUUAGGAUGGUUUUCAUCAGAAGUGACUGGCAAAUGAUAAAUAGGAAAUACUGCUGGUAGAAAUGAAUAGCGAGAUUGAUCUUCCAAAUGGAGCUAAAAAUUACUUAUUUACUGCUGAGACUACUGGAGCUCAUGACAUGUGUUAAAAUAAGGCGGUCUGGCUUUAACGAUGCCAGUAACACUUCCAUUGAAGCCUUGGGGAUUCUUUCAUCCUGGUAA